rnacentral:rRNA from 1 species
GAUGAACGCUGGCGGCGUGCCUAAUACAUGCAAGUCGAGCGAACGGACGAGAAGCUUGCUUCUCUGAUGUUAGCGGCGGACGGGUGAGUAACACGUGGAUAACCUACCUAUAAGACUGGGAUAACUUCGGGAAGCCGGAGCUAAUACCGGAUGAUAUUUUGAACCGCAUGGUUCAAAAGUGAAAGACGGUCUUGCUGUCACUUAUAGAUGGAUCCGCGCUGCAUUAGCUAGUUGGUAAGGUAACGGCUUACCAAGGCAACGAUGCAUAGCCGACCUGAGAGGGGGAUAGGCCACACUGGAACUGAGACACGGUCCAGACUCCUACGGGAGGCAGCAGUAGGGAAUCUUCCGCAAUGGGCGAAAGCCUGACGGAGCAACGCCGCGUGAGUGAUGAAGGUCUUCGGAUCGUAAAACUCUGUUAUUAGGGAAGAACAUAUGUGUAAGUAACUGUGCACAUCUUGACGGUACCUAAUCAGAAAGCCACGGCUAACUACGUG